rnacentral:rRNA from 1 species
AGUGGCGGACGGGCGAGUAACGCGUGAGCAACCUGCCCUAUGCAGGGGGAUAACACCGGGAAACCGGUGCUAAUACCGCAUAAGACCACACUACCGCAUGGUAGAGUGGUAAAAGCUGAGGCGGCAUAGGAUGGGCUCGCGUCCAAUUAGCUAGUUGGUAGGGUAACGGCCUACCAAGGCGACGAUUGGUAGCCGAACUGAGAGGUUGAUCGGCCACAUUGGGACUGAGACACGGCCCAGACUCCUACGGGAGGCAGCAGUGGGGAAUAUUGCGCAAUGGGGGAAACCCUGACGCAGCAACGCCGCGUGAAGGAAGAAGGCCUUCGGGUUGUAAACUUCUUUGAUUGGGGACGAAGAAAGUGACUGUACCCAAAAAACAAGCCACGGCUAACUACGUGCCAGCAGCCGCGGUAAUACGUAGGUGGCAAGCGUUGUCCGGAAUUACUGGGUGUAAAGGGCGUGUAGGCGGGGAUGCAAGUCAGAUGUGAAAUUCCGGGGCUUAACCCCGGCGCUGCAUCUGAAACUGUAUCUCUUGAGUGCUGGAGAGGAAAGCGGAAUU